UGGGGAAUAUUGCGCAAUGGGCGAAAGCCUGACGCAGCGACGCCGCGUGAGGGAUGAAGGUUUUCGGAUCGUAAACCUCUGUCAGAAGGGAAGAAACCGCACUGUGCUAAUCAGCAGUGCCUUGACGGUACCUUCAAAGGAAGCACCGGCUAACUCCGUGCCAGCAGCCGCGGUAAUACGGAGGGUGCAAGCGUUAAUCGGAAUUACUGGGCGUAAAGCGCACGUAUGCUGCUUUGUAAGUCAGGGGUGAAAUCCCACGGCUCAACCGUGGAACUGCCUUUGAUACUGCUUAGCUUGAAUCCGGGAGAGGGUGGCGGAAUUCCAGGUGUAGGAGUGAAAUCCGUAGAUAUCUGGAGGAACAUCAGUGGCGAAGGCGGCCACCUGGACCGGUAUUGACGCUGAGGUGCGAAAGCGUGGGGAGCAAACAGG
rnacentral:rRNA from 1 species